GGCCUUGUAGCUCAGCUGGUGGAGCUUGUGCUGUACAAAAGCGUAGGCGGCGUCCAUCCAUGGGUUCGAAUCCCACCGAGGCUA
rnacentral:tRNA from 1 species